UCUGAAACUAGAUACUAUUUUAAUUUGUCAGUACCUUAAUAGAGCUGGGGUAAAAUAAAUCCCAAAUAUUAUGCCAUUUCAAUCAGUCAAUCCAUCAACCAGUCAACACUGUAUUAGUCCGUUCAGGCUGCUAUGACAAAAUGGAAAAAACAGAAAUUCACUUCUCGCUGUUCUGGGGGCUGGAAGUCCAAGAUCAGGGUGUUGGCGAGUCUGUCUGCGAGGGAUGGCUCUCUUCUGUCAGUGUACCCUGUGGUGCUCUUUAUACCAGCACCAAUUCUGUUCUGAGGGCUCCAUUCACAUCCUGGUGACCUGAUCACUUCCCAAAGCCCCUCCUCCAAAUACCGUCCCCUUGGGGGCCAGGUUUCAAGGUGAAUUUUUGGAACAUAAACAUUCAGUUCAUAGCAAAUGCUCUGCUACCUCACAGGCUUCUCAACCCCAUGUCCAGGAUGGAACCUCGAUUCCAAGACCCCCCUCCAUCACCGUCACCGGCUCCUGGUUAAGUGACACCUGCAUUUGUCAAGUUGUCAAGAAUGAGCCUGGAAUCGUUCUAGAUGCAUCAGCAAAUCGUUUAGACGCUACGAAAUAUACACCUUCCGCGGCCAGCUCGGCUCGGGACCCUGCAGCGGAGCCACCUGGUCGAUCCUCGCACGGCCGCCAGAGGGCGCGUCCGGGUCCGGGCCACGCGGGUUCUCGGCUCACGGCCCGGGCCGCGCUCCGCCUCCGUCAGGUCACCCCGGCCCGCCCGGAGGGGACCCUGGAGACCCCCAGCUCUUCCCCCCUCAGGGCCUUUGUCCUUGGCAGUGCGGUCGCUCGCAGCGCGGUCCCUUUGCGGAGCUGGAGCUCGGGGUGGUCUCCGUCCGGUCUCCCCUCCGCCGCCAGCCCGUCUCAGCUUCCUCUGCUGCUUCCUUCACGACGCCUGUCCCCGCCGGGCGUCGUCACUGUUUGCCGCUGUCCUGUUUCUUGUCUGUCGCCAGCUGCAAUGAGAGCUCCGCGAGAAGGGACUUCCUUCUCUCCUUACCGCGUCGCCGCAAGGGGAGGUGCCCGUGACCAGCUCGCUCCCUCCUCCCAGGCCCGGAGGAAGGUGUCACCCUCCCCUCCAGAGGUCCAGCCCCCGACCCCAACACGUGGACAGGGCAGGAGGAGAAAGG
rnacentral:lncRNA from 1 species